rnacentral:lncRNA from 1 species
CGAGGGUGCACAGGGAGCAGGUGGACAUGCAAGAGAUAAAAGACUAAGAAAAGAGAGAAAUUGUGGCCAUGCUGGACCACAAGGAGGGAAAGGAGAAAGUUGUCGUCAUGAGGGACUGCACGAAAGAGGGAAGAGGAGCGUCAUGGUCAUAUGAGACCACAAGGGAAGGAAAGAGAGAAGAAGAGAAGGAGAAAGAGUGAAACACGGACG